CCUACGGGUGGCUGCAGUGGGGAAUAUUGGACAAUGGGCGAAAGCCUGAUCCAGCCAUGCCGCGUGUGUGAAGAAGGCCUUCGGGUUGUAAAGCACUUUCAGUGGGGAAGAAAGCCUUGGGGCUAAUACCCUCGAGGAAGGACAUCACCUACAGAAGAAGCACCGGCUAACUCCGUGCCAGCAGCCGCGGUAAUACGGAGGGUGCGAGCGUUAAUCGGAAUUACUGGGCGUAAAGCGCGCGUAGGCGGUCUGAUAAGCCGGUUGUGAAAGCCCCGGGCUCAACCUGGGAACGGCAUCCGGAACUGUCAGGCUAGAGUGCAGGAGAGGAAGGUAGAAUUCCCGGUGUAGCGGUGAAAUGCGUAGAGAUCGGGAGGAAUACCAGUGGCGAAGGCGGCCUUCUGGACUGACACUGACGCUGAGGUGCGAAAGCGUGGGUAGCAAACAGGAUUAGAUACCCUAGUAGUC
rnacentral:rRNA from 1 species